UGGGGAAUCUUGCACAAUGGGCGAAAGCCUGAUGCAGCAACGCCGCGUGCGGGAAGACAGCCCUAGGGUUGUAAACCGCUUUCAGCAGGGAAGAAACUGACGGUACCUGCAGAAGAAGAUGCGGCCAACUACGUGCCAGCAGCCGCGGUGACACGUAGGCAUCAAGCGUUAUCCGGAUUUAUUGGGCGUAAAGAGCUCGUAGGCGGUUCGGUAAGUCGGGUGUGAAAACUCUGGGCUCAACCCAGAGAGGCCACUCGAUACUGCUGUGACUAGAGUGCGGUAGGGGAGCGGGGAAUUCCUGGUGUAGCGGUGAAAUGCGCAGAUAUCAGGAGGAACACCAGUGGCGAAGGCGCCGCUCUGGGCCGUAACUGACGCUGAGGAGCGAAAGCAUGGGUAGCAAACAGGAUUAGAUACCCUGGUAGUCCAUGCCGUAAACGUUGGGCACUAGGUGUGGGUCUCAACCAACGAGAUCCGCGCCGUCGCUAACGCAUU
rnacentral:rRNA from 1 species